GUUGAAGAACGUAGCGAAAUGCGAUAAGUAGUGUGAAUUGCAGAAUUCAGUGAAUCAUCGAAUCUUUGAACGCACAUUGCGCCCUUUGGUAUUCCUUAGGGCAUGCCUGUUCGAGCGUCAUUUAAACCUUCAAGCUCAGCUUGGUGUUGGGUGACUGUCCGCUUCACCGCGGACUCGCCUCAAAAUUAUUGGCGGCCGGUACAUUGGCUUCGAGCGCAGCAGAAACGCGAACUCGGGCCCGUCGUAUUGGCUCCCAGAAGCUAUCUUCACAAUUUUGACCUCGGAUCAGGUAGGGAUACCCGCUGAACUUAAGCAUAUCAAUAAGCGGAGGA
rnacentral:misc_RNA from 1 species